ensembl:lncRNA
UUGAGACACACAAGGUAUCAUUUGUAAACUAAUCAUGUAUUUUUUCAUUACCGUUUCCUACAGCACACAACUGAAGCAACAAAUGUCGAUUGGCAAUUCCUCUGAAUCCCUUUGCAAUUUCAACAUCUCUGAAUAUGCCUGUUCCUCAGUAAGCUUUUUCAAUUCAUCACUGAAUGUUGUCAGUAGCAACAGAUACAUUUCUCUCAUCCUCAUCUUCUUUAUUGAUGUUACUCAUGUUGAUGUCACAGUUGUCUAAUUUGGUUCACGUCCCUGCAUUCUUUUCUUUAAGACAACCCUUCUGUCAGCGGACAACUUGGUGACGAUCCUGAAAUGCCAAUUGUCGAGCAAAAAGACUUACUCAACAGAAAUGUGGAAGCUGUUCUUCCAAAACAACGCUGCUGUUCUGGACCAGGCUCUUCUGGAUUACUCCAGCAUGGUAUGUUGAAUCCCAGAAUUACAACAAAAUGUUGGCAAUAUGUGUGGAUUUUGUCAAUAUACAUCUGUUUAUACCUUUCCAGAACCCCAACAUCAGCAGUCCAGCUAUGCCACAUGUCCUUGAUGCCAUUGGAGAUGUCAAAAUCAACAACUUCAUUAAUGCACAGCUGAACGACGCCAGUUUCGUGGCCAAGUUGUUCCAGAAGAUGCUCCGUCCAUUCUUGGCAUCUACAUCUAGGAAUUUCCUCUCCUGUCUCAGCUCAAAGAACUUCAGUUGUCAGACCUACCAAAUUGUCAUUGAUGCUCUAAGCAACCAAUCAGCCUCCAUGGACAGAGAGCAACAACAAUUGAUCUUCACUCAUUACAUCUAUCCAUUCCUUUCAAGAAAUGACUCAUCAGGUAAUAAAUGGUUCUGGAAAGCACAAAAACAUCCACACUUCUCUGGGCCAAUCCAUUGCACUCAUCUGCUUAGGGGAACUUAAAGUCCAUUUGUUUAACUCUGCUUUUGUUUCAGAUCCCGGCUGUGUCUCAAACACCAGUGGAAGCAUGGACUGGCUCCAGAGGAACUUUGGCAUCUUUUCUGUUUUUGCAGAACUGCAGGAGUUACAACUCCUCAAUCCUGACUUCUCCAGCGUAAGUGGCCUAGGUGUUUGUCUGGAUGGUUAUCCCCUCAAUAACAUUACCGUGCCAAUCACUGACAUGCGCCACUUUUCUUUUUUCUUUUUCUAUUUGUAGAAGGAAUCACUGUCGCUGCUUACCCCAACCCAAUUGGCACAGUUGACAUUGACCUCUGGGCCAUUGAAUGACACAGAUGACAUUAAACGUGUGUUUAAGCGGCUGGAGGAAGGAGACGCUUUCAAAAAUGUUGACGAGUUUCUGACGCAACUGACCGCAAAGGAAGAGGUAAUGCACAUUUCAGAUAAACAAACUGCAUGAUUUCAUCUUGACAAAUAGCAAUCCCCAUGUCUUCCUGUGUCUCCCUUGGUGGAUAGUGAAAGACAACAAUUGAGCAACGAGAAACCUAUCAAUCUUGUACUUUCAUUUAUUACCGGCAAAGCUCGAUGGAAUGCCGUGAUGAGUUGUGCAGUGUUGAGGAACUCUGGUCAUGUGUUUCAACAGAUUCCUGACAUCCAUCCAGCCGUGAGAGAUGUGAUGAUGAAUCAGACAUUCAACAUCAUCAGCCUUCAAUUCCCAGAGUUCGAAACGAUGGACUGGAUUGCAUGGUUUGAAGUAAAGCUGAUUCCCAUCCUCCCCAGUUUUAAUGAAGUCAUGCUCACCAUUGCUACCUCAAAUGUCAACUGCACCAACUACCAAGUCAUGUGAGUAGGGGCUAUCUUCCUGCUAAAAUUAGCCAUGGAUUCGAUGACUAAAAUCUAUUGCAAAUGUGGGAUGGAAGCGUCAUGAGUGUAUCUUUUCCCAUUUACAGUGUAAAUGGAAUGGACAGCGCUUUCCCUGAAAUGACUCAGGAUAGAAGAGAAGGAAUCGCAAGAGUCCUGCUGAAAUACCUGAGGAAAUCUGUACACCUCAUCAACGAACCAGGUAGGGCUCACCAAGCAGGUUGUUGUGCUCAUUGGCUUUCUGUUUGGUUGUUCGUCGCCUCUGCUGGAUG